ACGAGAAGACCCCAUGGAGCUUUAAACCCAACAACACCCGCCCCCCUCCAAAUCCUAUUAUUUACCCGGUGAUUGUUUGUUUGGUUUUAGGUUGGGGUGACCGCGGAGUAUAAGAUAUCCUCCAUGAAAAAAAGCUAACUGCCCUUAUUAGAGAAAGACACUUCCAAAAAAUAAUAAAUUAAUUUUAAAUGAUCCGACAUUCGAUCAACGAACCAAGUUACCCUGGGGAUAACAGCGCAAUCCGUCCCGAGAGCCCCUAUCGACAGGCGGGUUUACGACCUCGAUGUUGGAUCAGGGUAUCCCAGUGGUGCAGCAGCUACUAAAGGUUCGUUUGUUCAACGAUUAA
rnacentral:rRNA from 1 species